UACGGGGGGGGCAAGCGUUGUUCGGAAUUACUGGGCGUAAAGGGCUCGUAGGUGGCCAACUAAGUCAGACGUGAAAUCCCUCGGCUUAACCGGGGAACUGCGUCUGAUACUGGAUGGCUUGAGUGUGGGAGAGGGAUGCGGAAUUCCAGGUGUAGCGGUGAAAUGCGUAGAUAUCUGGAGGAACACCGAUGGCGAAGGCAGGUCUCUGGGCCAUAACUGACGCUGAGAAGCGAAAGCAUGGGGAGCGAACAGG
rnacentral:rRNA from 1 species